UUCGCAAUGCCCGAAAGGGUGACGAAGCGACGCCGCGUGUGGGAAGAAGGCCUUCGGGUUGUAAACCACUGUCGGGAGUUAGGAAGUGCAGGGGCGUUAAUAGCGUCUUUGCUUGACUAAGGCUCCGGAGGAAGCCACGGCUAACUCUGUGCCAGCAGCCGCGGUAAUACAGAGGCGGCAAGCGUUGUUCGGAAUUAUUGGGCGUAAAGAGCACGUAGGCGGCCGUGUAAGUCGGUUGUGAAAGCCUUCCGCUCAACGGGAGAACGGCAUCCGAUACUGCAUGGCUCGAGUGCGGGAGGGGAGAGUGGAACUUCUGGUGGAGCGGUGAAAUGCGUAGAUAUCAGAAGGAACGUCGGCGGCGAAAGCGACUCUCUGGCCUAUUACUGACACUGAGGUGCGAAAGUUAGGGGAGCAAACGGGAUUAGAUACCCCGGUAGUCCUAGCCGUAAACGAUGGGCACUAAGUAGAGGGGUUUU
rnacentral:rRNA from 1 species